rnacentral:rRNA from 1 species
CCUACGGGAGGCAGCAGUGGGGAAUAUUGGACAAUGGGCGAAAGCCUGAUCCAGCAAUGCCGCGUGAGUGAUGAAGGCCUUAGGGUCGUAAAGCUCUUUUACCCGGGAUGAUAAUGACAGUACCGGGAGAAUAAGCCCCGGCUAACUCCGUGCCAGCAGCCGCGGUAAUACGGAGGGGGCUAGCGUUGUUCGGAAUUACUGGGCGUAAAGCGUGCGUAGGCGGUUAUUCAAGUCAGAGGUGAAAGCCCGGGGCUCAACCCCGGAACGGCCUUUGAAACUAGGUAGCUAGAAUCUUGGAGAGGUCAGUGGAAUUCCGAGUGUAGAGGUGAAAUUCGUAGAUAUUCGGAAGAACACCAGUGGCGAAGGCGACUGACUGGACAAGUAUUGACGCUGAGGCACGAAAGCGUGGGGAGCAAACAGGAUUAGAUACCCUGGUAGUCCACGCCGUAAACGAUGAUAACUAGCUGUUCGGGUAACUUGGUAUCUGNGUGNGCAGCACGACAUAAGUUAUACCGUCCGUCGGGUAGGUACGGUCGUCGAGAUAAACUAACAAGAAGUAGACGCGNGAGACGNGCCGACGACGACGACGAGGGAGGUAGG